UCGAUUAGAGUUUGAUCCUGGCUCAGGACGAACGCUGGCGGCGUGCCUAAUACAUGCAAGUCGAGCGGAUUUAUCCUUCGGGAUAAGUUAGCGGCGGACGGGUGAGUAACACGUAGGCAACCUGCCUAUAAGACUGGGAUAACUAUCGGAAACGAUAGCUAAGACCGGAUAACUGAUUUUCUCGCAUGAGAAAAUUAUGAAACACGGAGCAAUCUGUGGCUUAUAGAUGGGCCUGCGGCGCAUUAGCUAGUUGGUAGGGUAACGGCCUACCAAGGCGACGAUGCGUAGCCGACCUGAGAGGGUGAACGGCCACACUGGGACUGAGACACGGCCCAGACUCCUACGGGAGGCAGCAGUAGGGAAUCUUCCGCAAUGGACGCAAGUCUGACGGAGCAACGCCGCGUGAGUGAUGAAGGUUUUCGGAUCGUAAAGCUCUGUUGCCCUAGACGAACAGCAAGAGGAGUAACUGCCUUUUGUGUGACGGUAUAGGAGAAGAAAGCCCCGGCUAACUACGUGCCAGCAGCCGCGGUAAUACGUAGGGGGCAAGCGUUGUCCGGAAUUAUUGGGCGUAAAGCGCGCGCAGGCGGUCAAUUAAGUUGGGUGUUUAAGCCCGGGGCUCAACCCCGGUUCGCAUCCAAAACUGGUCGACUUGAGUGUAGGAGAGGAAAGUGGAAUUCCACGUGUAGCGGUGAAAUGCGUAGAGAUGUGGAGGAACACCAGUGGCGAAGGCGACUUUCUGGCCUAUAACUGACGCUGAGGCGCGAAAGCGUGGGGAGCAAACAGGAUUAGAUACCCUGGUAGUCCACGCCGUAAA
rnacentral:rRNA from 1 species